rnacentral:RNase_P_RNA from 1 species
GUGGUCCGGUGAUCGCGGCAGCAGGCUGGAAACGGCGUUGUCGAGGAAAGUCCGGGCUCCAUGGGGCAGGGAAGUCGGUAACACCGACCCGGGGCGACCCGAGGGAAAGCGCAACAGAAAUCACACCGCCGAAGAGCGCCGCCCUGCCCCGCAAGGGACGAGGUGGCGUGGCGGGCGCCUGGCGCCCGCCCGGUAAGGUUGAAAUCGUGGGGUAAGAGCCCACGCGCGACAGCCGGGCGACCGGCGGCGGGGCAAGCCCCUCCCGGAGCAAACUCAAAUAGGGACACCGCCGAGGGCGGCCCGUUCGAGUCCGAGAGGACCGGUGUCCGGGUAGAGCGCUCGAGCGGCGCAGCAAUGCGUCGCCUAGAUGAAUGAUCCUCGCCGGCGCGAAAGCCGCGUCGGAACAGAACCCGGCUUACAAUCCGCUCCG